rnacentral:rRNA from 1 species
ACCCUUAGAUGUUCUGGGCCGCACGCGCGCUACACUGAUGAAUUCAACGAGCUCCUAACCUAGGCCGAAGGGUCCGGGUAAUCUUUGAAAUUUCAUCGUGAUGGGGAUAGAUUAUUGCAAUUAUUAAUCUUCAACGAGGAAUUCCUAGUAAGCGCGAGUCAUCAGCUCGCGUUGAUUACGUCCCUGCCCUUUGUACACACCGCCCGUCGCUCCUACCGAUUGAAUGGUCCGGUGAAAUGUUCGGACCGCGACAAGGCGGACGGUUCGCUGUCAGCUUUGCUGCGGGAAGUUCAUUAAACCUUAUCAUUUAGAGGAAGGAGAAGUCGUANCA